rnacentral:rRNA from 1 species
AUGUCGGCGGGCGACGGCGCGGCGGUGUCGGCCGUCGAGGGGAAGCUCGCGGAGCUCUCCACCAGCUGCGACCUCAGGACGCUCCCCAAGAGGGGCAAGUCUGCAUCAGCAAGGACAUUGAACACUGCCCAGAUUCAGCUUGUCGCAAGCCAUCCGGAAGUUUAUGAACCAUGUGAUGAUUCAUUUGCCCUUGUUGAUGCGCUGCUCUCUGACAAGGCUCAACUUCUGACGCUACAGCCGAGUUUAUGCAUGGAGGUGGGAUGUGGCAGUGGUUAUGUCAUCACUUCUCUAGCCAUCAUGCUCAGGCAAUUAGGCUCUGGAACCCAGUACCUAGCAACAGACAUCAACCAACAUGCCGUGGAGACAACUCAAGCAACACUUGAAGCCCAUGGUGUUCAUGCAGAUGUUAUUGCUACAGAUAUUGUGUCAGGUCUUGAGAAACGUCUGGCUGGUAUGGUUGAUGUGGUGGUUGUGAACCCUCCUUAUGUGCCUACACCCGAGGAAGAAAUCGGGAUGAAGGGCAUUGCUUCAUCUUGGGCUGGAGGGUUGAAUGGGCGCCAAGUGAUCGACCGGAUUCUUCCUGCUGUGCGCGAGCUGCUGUCAGAAAAAGGAUGUCUCUACAUGAUUGCCCUUGAAGAUAAUGAUCCUUUGGGCAUAUGCCAUUUGAUGAACGAGAAGGGGUUCGCAUCGCGUGUUCUGCUGAAGAGGUGCACUGACGAGGAGAGCCUUUAUGUUCUCAAGUUCUGGCAAGAUGCUGCUGCUGGCGCAAAUGCUUCUCAGUCUGGUAGAUCUCCACGCGCCGAGUCGUGGCUUUCACAGUUGCCUUUCAAAUCCUUUUGGCAUAAGAACACUGGCAGUUCUUGA